rnacentral:rRNA from 1 species
GGGGGAUAUUGCACAAUGGAGGAAACUCUGAUGCAGCGACGCCGCGUGAGGGAAGAAGGUCUUCGGAUUGUAAACCUCUGUCUUUAGGGACGAAGAAAGUGACGGUACCUAAAGAGGAAGCCACGGCUAACUACGUGCCAGCAGCCGCGGUAAUACGUAGGUGGCGAGCGUUGUCCGGAUUUACUGGGUGUAAAGGGUGCGUAGGCGGGUUAUCAAGUUGGGUGUGAAACCUCCGUGCUUAACACGGAGCCUGCAUUCAAAACUGGUAAUCUUGAGUGAGGUAGAGGUAGAUGGAAUUCCCGGUGUAGCGGUGAAAUGCGUAGAGAUCGGGAGGAACACCAGUGGCGAAGGCGGUCUACUGGGCCUUAACUGACGCUGAGGCACGAAAGCAUGGGGAGCAAAC